UACAGAGGGUGCGAGCGUUGUCCGGAAUCACUGGGCGUAAAGGGCGCGUAGGCGGCCAGCACAAGUCAGUUGUGAAAUCUCCGAGCUUAACUCGGAAAGGUCAACUGAUACUGUGCGGCUAGAGUGCGGAAGGGGCAACUGGAAUUCUUGGUGUAGCGGUGAAAUGCGUAGAUAUCAAGAGGAACACCUGCGGCGAAGGCGGGUUGCUGGGCCGACACUGACGCUGAGGCGCGAAAGCUAGGGGAGCGAACGGG
rnacentral:rRNA from 1 species